CAGCUCUGGAAGUGAGAAGAGAGACAGAAAACAAACAGAAGCCCUCACAAGGGAGCUGGGGAAUAGCUCAUUUAAACAAAGCACCUCUUCAUAUGCACAGAUGUGAGUAGACAGGAGCCUUCAUCUCAAGGUGAAAUUGUUUUUAAUUGUUUUGUUGUUGUUUUGUUUUGUUGCCCCUCUGUGAAUCCUGGGCUAAAGAAGAGGGACAGCCCAACUGGUGAGAAGCCACUCAACAUGGGAAGGUCACCCUUUCAUAGCGUCCAACUUGGAAGAGACUCUAGGACACAAUCCUUAAGGACCAUCGAGCCCCCACUCAGGCAUUCAUUCACUGAUCCAUACCUACUCUUUGGUGAUAAAUACUCCUCCCUGCCAUAUGUCCUUUGGCAUCAAUGGCUGACACCAGCCAUAUUAGAAAACCUUACCACUCUUCAGAAGAACUUUCCCAGAAGCAGCUUCUGAGAUACCUAGAGUUUGACCCUCAGCAUUUGACAUAUGGAAUCAGGGGACUCACCUCAACCCAGACACCUUUCAGCCAUUUGAUUCUGCUUCCAGCUCUUUCCUCACAUUGAUCUCUCUCUUAACGAGCAUUGCAAUCGAGUUGUGAAGGGCUGGGAAUGUACCUCCAGUGCCACUUUGAGAUAAUUUCUUAGAUGGUUUCCAUCACCAGUCAUAAAUAUUGCUGUUUAAUCUUUCUAAUUUUAAUUGAAAAUUAAUAUAUGUACAAGCCAGAAGAAAAAGAAGUAAAUCAGCAAGAGUGAAGAGUAAAGCACAUGAAUCAGAGGGUAAAAGAUGCUACGCACAUGGGAGCGGGGAAGGGGAAGAGUCCUCAAGCCCAAUAACAGAACUAGAAGUGAUAGGAGGACAGACAGACAAACUCUAGGGUCAAAAGGUGACUCUGGCUCCUGGAGACCUGCUCUUGUUUGUCUUUCCUGAGCAUCUUGAUCUAUACCUCGUGAGCAUCUGUGCUCUGCUCACUUGUAUACGCUGCUCACCUUGCAGUAGCUAGGUGCAAGCUUACCUCUGAGCUCUUUCAAUCUGAGAACAUAUCUUCUGCCUCCCCCGUUGAGUGGGAUUGCUCUGCUCCAUUAGAU